rnacentral:misc_RNA from 1 species
CCUAACCCUAGCCCCAUCUUCAACCCCUUCUUCUAUAUAAAUAAUCCAAAGCCCAAAUCACCAUUGUCAAUUCUCCUCUCCUCUGUUUCCUUUCCUCAAAGGAAAGCUACUCCUUAACCUUAGCUAUCGGAAACCUUCCCCUGUUUCUUCCUUAUCAGCGAAAUAGAUCACCCAAAGAAACCAGACCUUUUUGUUGUCUUUGUGAAUGGUGGAAAUCUUAAGCACUAGUAAUUACAUGCUCUCCCUUUGCCAAU